AGGAGUGUAGCUCAAUUGGCAGAGCGUCGGUCUCCAAAACCGAAGGUUGGGGGUUCGACUCCCUCCACUCCUGCCA
rnacentral:tRNA from 4 species